rnacentral:rRNA from 1 species
GAUGAACGCUGGCGGCGUGCUUAACACAUGCAAGUCGAACGAAAAUACUAUGUAGGCGAGAGAGAGCUUGCUUUUAAUCAACUUUUUAGUAUUUUAGUGGCGGACGGGUGAGUAACGCGUGGAUAACCUACCUUAUACUGGGGGAUAACAUUUAGAAAUAGAUGCUAAUACCGCAUAAGCGCACAGCUUCGCAUGAAGCAGUGUGAAAAACUCCGGUGGUAUAAGAUGGAUCCGCGUUUGAUUAGUUAGUUGGUGAGGUAAUGGCUCACCAAGACCGCGAUCAAUAGCCGGCCUGAGAGGGUGUACGGCCACAUUGGGACUGAGACACGGCCCAAACUCCUACGGGAGGCAGCAGUGGGGAAUAUUGCACAAUGGGGGAAACCCUGAUGCAGCGACGCCGCGUGAGUGAAGAAGUA